AGUGAACGUUGGCGGCGUGGAUUAGGCAUGCAAGUCGAGCGAGAACCGUAGCAAUACGGGGACAGCGGCGAAAGGGACAGUAAUGUGUAGGUACCUACCCCGAGGUCUGGGAUAGCUGCGGGAAACUGCAGGUAAUACCGGAUAAUGUCUUCGGACCAAAGGUGUGAUUCCACCUUGGGAGGGGCCUGCAUCCUAUUAGCUUGUUGGCGGGGUAACGGCCCACCAAGGCGACGAUGGGUAGCGGGUGUGAGAGCACGACCCGCGUCAUUGGGACUGAGACACGGCCCAGACACCUACGGGUGGCUGCAGUCGAGGAUCUUCGGCAAUGGGCGCAAGCCUAACCGAGCGACGCCGCGUGCGGGAUGAAGGCCUUCGGGUUGUAAACCGCUGUCGUAGGGGAGGAAAUGCAGGUGGGUUCUCCCUCCUGUUUGACCUAUCCUAGGAGGAAGUACGGGCUAAGUUCGUGCCAGCCGCCGCCGUAA
rnacentral:rRNA from 1 species